GCUGGACUCUUCAUCUGGAGGAGGAACAAUAACGGGUUUCGCCCUGCUAAAACGGGGCAGUGAACAUAGAAGAGGAUGCUGAACUCCACAACUUUCUGUCUCAGAGGACUUUACAAUCUGUACAACAAAUAUUUCAUUAUUAUUAUUAUUGUUAUUAUUAUUAUUUUUAUAUUCCUGGAAGUGAGAUCAAAAUGUCAUGGUCUGGCACUGUACCAGAGAACAUUGGACUUUUUCUUUUUGUUAUAAGUUAAGACUGUCUUAUCUCCUCCUUUUGGUUUAUUACUUCUGUUAUUGUGAUUUUGGUUUGUUUUGGAUUUGGGUUCUUUUAUAUUUAUGCAUUCCAGUGUUUCCUGUUUUAUUUUGAAAUUCACUCUUCCUGUGUCUUGUCUGGUUUUACUUCCUACCUUUGUUUGUUUUCCCGCCUUUUUUGAUUGUCUGCCCCGCCCUGAUUUGUUCCACCUGUGUCUAAUCGCCCUCUUGUAUUUAAGCCCUCUGUUGUUGUCAGUUCGU